rnacentral:rRNA from 1 species
UACGUAGGGACCAAGCGUUGUUCGGAUUUACUGGGCGUAAAGGGCGCGUAGGCGGCGUGGUAAGUCACUUGUGAAAUCUCUGAGCUUAACUCAGAACGGCCAAGUGAUACUGCUGUGCUAGAGUGCAGAAGGGGCAAUCGGAAUUCUUGGUGUAGCGGUGAAAUGCGUAGAUAUCAAGAGGAACACCUGAGGUGAAGACGGGUUGCUGGGCUGACACUGACGCUGAUGCACGAAAGCUAGGGGAGCAAACAGG